GUGAGGAAUAUUGCGCAAUGGGGGCAACCCUGACGCAGCAAUGCCGCGUGAAGGACGAAGGUUUUCGGAUUGUAAACUUCUUUUCUUGAGGACGAUAAUGACGGUACUCAAGGAAUAAGCCACGGCUAACUACGUGCCAGCAGCCGCGGUAAUACGUAGGUGGCAAGCGUUGUCCGGAUUUACUGGGUGUAAAGGGCGAGUAGGCGGGUCUGCAAGUCAGAUGUGAAAUGCAGGGGCUCAACCCCUGAGCUGCAUUUGAAACUGUAGGUCUUGAGUGAUGGAGAGGCAGGCGGAAUUCCCGGUGUAGCGGUGGAAUGCGUAGAUAUCGGGAGGAACACCAGUGGCGAAGGCGGCCUGCUGGACAUUAACUGACGCUGAGGAGCGAAAGCGUGGGGAGCAAACAGGA
rnacentral:rRNA from 1 species